GACGAACGCUGGCGGCGUGCCUAAUACAUGCAAGUUGAGCGCUGAAGGUUGGUACUUGUACCGACUGGAUGAGCAGCGAACGGGUGAGUAACGCGUGGGGAAUCUGCCUUUGAGCGGGGGACAACAUUUGGAAACGAAUGCUAAUACCGCAUAAAAACUUUAAACACAAGUUUUAAGUUUGAAAGAUGCAAUUGCACCACUCAAAGAUGAUCCCGCGUUGUAUUAGCUAGUUGGUGAGGUAAAGGCUCACCAAGGCGAUGAUACAUAGCCGACCUGAGAGGGUGAUCGGCCACAUUGGGACUGAGACACGGCCCAAACUCCUACGGGAGGCAGCAGUAGGGAAGCUUCGGCAAUGGACGAAAGUCUGACCGAGCAACGCCGCGUGAGUGAAGAAGGUUUUCGGAUCGUAAAACUCUGUUGGUAGAGAAGAACGUUGGUGAGAGUGGAAAGCUCAUCAAGUGACGGUAACUACCCAGAAAGGGACGGCUAACUACGUG
rnacentral:rRNA from 1 species